rnacentral:tRNA from 1 species
UUUAAAUAGUUUAGUAUAAAACGUCGGGUUGUGGUACCGAAGAGAUAAGAAGUUAUUUUAAAUUG